UCUGCCCUUCCCAGCCUGCACCUCCCGUUCCUUAAAGGCGCAGCAAGCUGCAAUCGGCUACCACGUUUUAUUCGCAAACCUGAAAACGGAAGUCUUUGCAGCAGUAUGGGAGAAAGAAGAGACUCCGCGCAUCGUUACUCCGGCGAAAAAGUCCCACUGUUUUAGUGCUGCUCCCCAUAGAAGAAAUAAACCCUACCAAGCCCCUAUAUGCACACAUCCCAUGACUGUUCUGUAACUGCUACUGGUACACGUGUACAGCAAGAGUUUUUGCAGCCCUGAUGGAGAUACUGUUGCCUAUGCCAACUCCUCUCAACAAGACCUGAAGAUCUUCAUGCUUUAUCAGAAGCUCUUUUUAAAACUUCAAGUUUCAGCAGUGGCUUUUGAUGUGGCAGAAAUGAGGUACUGUCCUUUAGAAAACGAACUAAGAAGCCCUAAAGUAUAUAAAGGUUCCUCAGUAGCUUGUGCCAUAUGGGACUGAAAGUGACUCCACAGACGGAAAUUGGUUCGGAAUGCCUUGUUACACACAUGGCAAAUAAAGGGCUUCACAGAACACAAAAGCUCUUGGUGACGUUCUAGCUGCUUGUGCACAGUAAAGAUUUUCC